CUGAAAGUUAAUCUUGUCUUCAAAUUUCUUAUUAGGUCUAAACCAGUCCUUUGAUAGGCACCAGGGAGAAAAACAGAUGUGAUCUCAGCUUUCAACAAUUAAGAAAUCAUCCAAGUUCAGACAGUUUCAAUGUGAGUCUUCAAAGACAAUGCAUUGGUUUCAGACAUUAUGAAUCUUGUUCUCACAGUUGCAAAAUGGCUGAUGGGCCUCUACCAACAUGUCCAUAUUCCAUGCAGACAUAAAUAAGAAGGGGGAGGGCAAACAACAUGUACCAACAGUUUAUUCAACAAAUUAAUGA